AACGAAACAGGGCAAAGAAAGCUUUGAAAAUUGCCCAUAAAGUUCACCAGAAAGCAAAAGAGAAGACAAAUAUAGCAUCACUUGUAUCUUUAAAACCUUAUAAAGGUUUUAGCCCGGAGGAUAUUGCUGCUCUUAGUUUAAGAACAACUAGAGAAUGAUCAGUGUGGUUUCCACAUGAAGAUAAUUUUGUAAGAAUAUUGUUUUCAUGUUCUUGGUUUUUAUGACUUUGUUCAUAGAUCCUUCUAACGUAUCUUGCUAUGAGAGUUCUUCUCAAAUUAGGUCAUCCUCCAACCCACCAGAGCAAACUCAGAGAUGCACUUCACAAACAGUUCAAGUCUUCAAGUGAUAAAAAUGUCCCAGUCAUACACAGGAGACCCAUUAGAUUAUUAAAGAUGUAUUCCAAUGACAGCCUUGAGCUAACCAUUAAUGACAGGGGCGUAUUUAGGAAUUGGAAAAGGGGGCUG